GGGGAAAUGGCUCAGUUGGAGAGAGAACUUGCUAUAUAAGCAAGAGGACAGGGACUCAAAUCCUCUGUACCCUU
rnacentral:tRNA from 1 species